ACAAACUAAACUAAAUCAUAUUCCUUUGUAUAUAAAACACAAAUUUACUUGCAAGUGCACGAUUGUAAGCGUUGCACAUAAAUAUGAUUGCAACAGUUAACAUUAAGUGGUUAAGUUGCCCCGUGUAAUGAUAACAGUGCCGUUACAGGCCGCAAUGCGCCUGCAACACCGACACUUACUGUUAUGUAACACCUUCGUACAUGCUUCUACUUAGAAUUAACUUAGUUAUAAUCAAACAUAUUCAUUUUUAAUACGUUGUCUGACAUUUGAAAUAUGCCUUGUAUCGUGGGUACGUCUACAGACAUACCUAGAACCAAUACAAUAAUUUGUGGAUCACAUAUAUAAUUGUUCCGUCAGAAAUCGAAUAAGCAAUAUUAGUUGCUGAGUAGUUGGUUACCCAGCCUAUUUACACCAACUGUGUAGUCAAUAUACACAACAUAUCAAGAAAAAAUGUGAAUGCCUCAGUCUUACAUUUUAUUAUGAAACCUACGUAAUUCUUGUCAUAUAAACCAAAGCUACAUGUCUCGUAGCACAUGUCUACGAUUCGCCUACGCCACUACGACGUAGCACACCUGCUACGCUUGCUACGAGUGACUACGUUCGUAGAUAUGCUAAGCAGUUCUUUGCUUUGUUUGAAUAUUAUGAGCAGGUGAAGUGACGUCAUAGGUCUGGGAUCUGCUAAAUAUGUAAAGGAUUAAUGUGAAACGUAUUUUUGGUAUGAAGUAUAGAAAUAACAAGUUCCAAUAUUUUUAUUGCGUACAAACGAAAUUGGUCAUUAGUUAUAAAUAACAAACCCAUUUCUAAAAUCAAUAAAUCAAAACCAUACCGUAACUAAUACUUGUUUAUUUAAACUUUUAAUUUGAACAUUCACUCAUUAACCCGUAGUUUAUCGCUUAUCGUUAUAAUUAACAUUAACGAUUAAUUUAAACGUGAAAAACAACGAUACGUUAUCGCUCUGAUACGCGUAUUAUCAGAGGUGCGUAUUGUUCGGAUUGCGUAUUGAUACGAGAGCUCACCAGUCGAGCUGCAGGCUUCGAACUGGUAUGCUUCUAAAUAAACACAAGAGAUACAAAACGGGAAUGAUUCUGGAUGCAACGAUCAGUAUGAUAGAGUAAGCCACACUAGUCACGUGCAGUAAGUCUUAAUAAUAUAGGUAGAGUAACAGCUCAGUACGUAUACUUUCAAAGCACGGUAAGUUAGGCAGGGAGUUUAUUCUGACUUUGACAUAAUAAAGGUGAAUUCAUUUUCUCGGUAAAUCACUUCCAACAAUGGGACGCUGAAACCCGUAAAGAUUAUUAUCUGAGGAGCGGCCGAGUACCUGGCGCUCCUGGAAAUCAUUCUUCGUUAUUAAUACGGCCAGGGUAGAGAGGGCAGAGAGGGCGCAGGGCGGCAAGUCACUCAGCCCGACCACACGCCUCCGCCUUCACGGUUCACGCUCCGACAGCGAAUAUGUUACCUUACCUCCAGAUUUCCACAACAUUUUUCGUUGAUAGAAUAAUUUAAUAAUAAAAAAUACGUAUACAUUACAUAGGUGACCUCCACACACAUGCUAAUGUAAUAAAACACGUAUAAUGAAGUUCAGCUCUGUAGCAGUUUAGUUAAAAAGCUUCAAUUGAAAUUCUUCGAACAACUUGCCAUGCCGACCAUGUAGAGAGUUGUAAACUGUUUGUUAGCAAUCGAGCACACACGGUAACUGCACGUAACAAACAAAGCGAUGCUCCAACUAUGCGCGGCUCCACCUCCUCGACUAUCCUCGUUAGCUGUACACGUGUCGUGUAUCGAUCAGCUCAGCUUUGCUUAACUUACUGCUGCUUGGCAUGCGAUGGAUCGUGAUGGAGUACCUCCGACGCGCAGUGCACUGUUUUCUUUAUAAAUUAUUCAAAACUGCUCGCUUCCGAAGUUCCGAUAUCAGGAAAUUAUUUUAUAUUAACUUUGUAAAGUAAAGCUUUUCGCUCGGAACCCAUUUUACAUUUUAAAGUUGAGCAAUAAUAGAGUUCUCUCUAGAAAUAAAUAAAUACAAUUGUACCAUCCAUUUAAAACACUUAUUUUAUGAAUCAGAAUGGCAAACACGUACAACGUAUCCACUACCAACAGCUGCACAACACAAUCAAUGUAUUACAAUAGUCACUUGACUUGAUUCAAUAAGUGUAGUCCAAGAGCUCGGGCGUGUCAGGCUGUAGUCAUCUCGUCCGACAAGUCCGACAAUCGCAACACCUUGGUCCGACACGGCGGACACUUGUUCCGGCGCCGGCCGCGCGCCUGCACCGCCGUGACGGGCCGCCAUAACUUCUCUUGUCAUACAUCUGGGUCAUCGGGAACACUGUUUGUGAUCAAGUAACUUUGUUUGUUUGUUUAGUUUCAGCAAGUUUGAGGCUAUUUGUGUACGUGGGUGUGUUAAACGUUAACUAGUAUUACGCGUAAUCUCUACAACUUUGUUUUGUACGACUAAUAAAUAUUCCGGACAAUAGUUUGCUAAGCUCUCUGCUCUAGAAAACACAACUUCUUUGUGCAUUCAAGCUUUAUGAAAUAAUUUCUCUUCUUCGUAUCGGAGUCGGCGCAUUUUUUCUUGGAAAAGUCGAUCUGUUAUUUCUCAAACGGCAUUAAUUAAAACUUUUGUCGUGCACCUCCGGCCAUAUUGUUUGAGUCAGAGCAAAAACAGCGCUGCAAUGAACUUUCUUUGUCUGCCGCUGAACUAGGACAUAAAAGUAGUUUAGUAGCAAAUUAACUGUUCCCGCGAUACAAUCUGCAGGAAAACAAUAAACCAGUAGUCGACUUAUGUAGGUUUAUUGUUACUUGUUAUAACUUAAUUAAACAUAAAAACUGAAUUAAGCCAACAGCUAAUAUAAAACCUUCUCAAACGGCUUUGUUUACAAUUACAGUCGCUAUCCUCGUUCAACCAUCUUGUGCUUAUAAAUAAAAAGAAUAAACGUCACUUAAAUCUAAGUGUUCGCCUCAAACCGAUUAUAUCCAGUUUUAUCCGGUAUAAGCCAGAUGGAUGCGGUUCCCGCUAGUUAUAUUAAAAACUGUUUGAGAUCGUCUUAUUAAGCAGCUGCGACUCCGCCAUAUUAAAUGCUGCUUUCAUGUUUUUUUCGCUUUUAUCGUAUUUUAUAUUGAGAUGAGAUGCCAUGUUUUUCUUAGGGGGAGAUUUGAACGUUGUGUAUGCUUUGAAACGUUAACUUGAUGUGUGUAAUGGCAUUUCAUAUAAAUUCUUUUGUAAUGUAUUCUUUGGUGAAGCCAUAUUGACUUAAAAGAUUAAAUGAGGAAGGAUUUUUGUAUAAAUUGUACCGCAUUUUAUUACAAGAACGUUUAGGUCCUUUUUUAUACGUAUGUACGUGGGGUAAAAAUUCUAACAUUUCAUGGCAUACACGCAAGACUUCUUAAUUAAACAGACGUGACGUACGAUGAGUUCCACUGACGUACUCCGAAGUGAGACAAGGAGCCGGCUCCAUGAAUAAUCAACCAUCUGAAUAAUUCAACUCCCAGACCUUUUGAAUAUUCCGACGUCACUUUUUGAUACAACCGUCAUUUUUUGCGUCGGCGGGCAAAUUAUUUUAUGUAACGUUGAUUUAGUGGCGCCGAUCUCCCGGUCUAUUGGUUUCGUUUGAAUAUUAAUUGAAAGCGAUCGUUAUUUUUUUACGUUGAUUUUGCAAAUUUUUGUGUCUAUUUUUGUAAGGGAAUGGUGAAAUCAUUGUUCAGAAUGUCUUAGUCACCUGUUAUUUUGGAAAUGUCUACGUUUUUCUACAUUAAUGAAGAUUUUUUUUUGUGAAAGUGAUAUCUGUGUUAGUUACGAAGUUUUUCUGUUACGUGUUCAUAAUUCAUCGUAUCGUACUGCUAUGAUUAUUUUAUCAGGGCGUCGAACGAUUUUGAUGUAGCGACGAAUAAUUGAUGCUCACUGUAUGCUCGCUUUAUUUUCGGCGCCACCAAUAUUACCUUCGUGCAAUAUGUAACAAAUAUAUUGAAUUGUAAAUGAAAAGCAACGUUAACAGAACAAGUUUAAAUUGACUUUCCAAUGGACGUAACAAACUCAGUGAUUGAGUUAGGAACAAGAGUUAAUACCGGUAUUAUGUAAAGUCUAUUGGAAGUUGCACAAUUUAAAUCAGUUCGACGAGAAAUCUUUUGUAAUCCUAUUAAAUUGAAAGUCUCAGUAAUGAAGUAUUUCCGAAGUAAAUGCCCUGUGAAUCCAAUCGUCCGCAGCGACUUGCUGCCUCCAGUAGCCGACCACUCCGCCCCAGCGCCCGGCCAUUCAGCUCAUUCACUAAGUUCGCGAUCGAGUGGCGCGCGCCUCGACCCGACCUCCAUUUAUUCUUUUACAAAAGCUCUUUGAUCAACUAAAUAGUUUGUCGUUCCCAGUUUUAUAGAAAUUAUUUUUGUGAAUAAUUUUAUAUUUUCUAACUGAAGUUUGAGUUUAAUGUCACUCCAGUAUUGUGUAAUUUUCGAAGUUGUAGUUGUAAUAGUUUAGUUGCUCAACAUUUUCGUUUUAUUUUUGUUAUAAACGUGACGAGCUAAGUUCUACAAAGGGUACAGAUAAAUCAAAAGAGUUUCGGUCCCUUUUCCCCGUCUUACACAAAUGAUGUACGGGACUGUAAUCAUUGGGGCGACAUUUAUAUAUGAUACAAACUACAUCUUCAUACAUAUGAGACAUAAUUAUGUAAUUGUGGUGUCUUUGAUGUUCGUCUUUACUUGAUAUUUGUGUGUGCUAGUAAUUAGUAGCCGCGGUAGCUGACACAAACUUUGUAUGUGGUACAUUUACCUCGUCUGUAGAGUAUAAGAUAGAUGAAUAUGUUGGCUACCCUGGAGAAUGGUAGCUACGUCCUGAAGGAAGAGGAGGCCAGGUGCUGGAUGUCCAGACGAGGAAGCCAAGUGUCCGCGAGAGCCUUGCGUGUGCUCUUAUUGGUAGUGUGGCUGAUAAUCUAUCAUAAGACACACGCGGCUCUCGCUGGCUCGCUCACACGCUACAGCAGUGAAGAGGAUAGAAGAUUGAACAGCCAACAUUUAUUUUAUAGUUUAAGAUAUGAUGCGGAUUGUAGAAUAUUUAUAAUUAGAUCAAGAAUAAUUAUUAAGAUACUGUUUCUUACAAAUAUAACGUUCCGUCCACGCACCGGAAUGAUAUUCCAUAUUUCACUUAUAAUAGCUGAAAACCGAUUUAAUAUAAUCCCUAAGAGUCCUAAUUGGACUGAAGACACAUUUCUCCUUUGAAUGAACUCAAUAAUUAGAGACCUACAAAUGUACAGCUCCAUUUUAAUUCGUCAGCUUACAAACAUUAGAUAACAUCACUAAUAAUUCCCGAAGUUUUCAUCGCUGAAUACUGAAUCGUUGUUUGGAAGUGAUUUUCGUCAGUUGGGUGCGCAUUAAGCGAGCGCGAGCGCUGUAAGCGGAUUAGGUGUGUGGGCGCAGGCAACAUGGCGGCGGUGGGCGGGGCUUGCGGCGCCGCGCUCGUGUAGACGCGCCGCAGACAGGGUGGAUUAAGGGCUCUUACAGACAAGCAACAAUUCGUUGACGGCUGAAACCAAUGCAAUCAGCAAUCAGAAGGUGACAACCGAAUUAACUUCAGAAGCAACCAUCGAUGAGUGACGAUUCUUGUAUUAUAUGCAUUUGUUGCAAUCGUAGUGGUCUUCGUUAGUUCAGCCAAUUGGAAAAUUAUAAGAUUAAGUACCGACACGCGAGUUGUAUCUUUCAGUUAAUAAAGUGUUCCUCGUCUUUCAACUCAUUCGCCGGAAAAUUGUUUAACUCGGUAGAAACCUAAAAGGCGUAAAGUAACACGACCGAAAAUCACAAACAAAUAAAAUGUCUACCUAAUAGGUACUCAUAUAUAUAUCCAGUAAGAUACUGUUUUUCAAAAUACAUUAAAUUAUAUCUACCAAAAUUCCAUUGUACUGUAUUGAUAGAAAAAUAUUAUACACUUAUUGUUCCUCAUUUUCGCAGCAUUCAAUUUUCUACUUGAAAAUUGCAACACCAUUUGUAAAAUGUAUUUUCGAUUCGAACAACAAUUUUAUUGAAUUUGUAAAAUGAAAUGUAUAACAAAACUAAGUACAAAUUGUGUGCAAUACAGGGAACAAUACUAUAGUAUUGUACAAAUACUAUAAAACAAUUUUGUGUCGCAUUACAUUUUGCACUUGUGUCGAAGAGAGGUCAUAAUAAUACAUUCGGGUUUUCAUUUCAUAUGAAGUGAGAAUACAAAGCAAUAUACUAAACCGCUAUUGAGAUACGUAGACAAAUUAAAAUAAA